rnacentral:rRNA from 1 species
GACGAACGCUGGCGGCGUGCCUAACACAUGCAAGUCGAACGAGAAUCUUUGGAAUGAUUCUUUCGGGAUGAAUUCCAAAGAGGAAAGUGGCGGACGGGCGAGUAACGCGUGAGUAACCUGCCCAUAAGAGGGGGAUAAUCCAUGGAAACGUGGACUAAUACCGCAUAUUGUAAUAAAAUCGCAUGAUUUAAUUAUGAAAGAUUUAUCGCUUAUGGAUGGACUCGCGUCAGAUUAGAUAGUUGGUGAGGUAACGGCUCACCAAGUCAACGAUCUGUAGCCGAACUGAGAGGUUGAUCGGCCGCAUUGGGACUGAGACACGGCCCAGACUCCUACGGGAGGCAGCAGUGGGGAAUAUUGCGCAAUGGGGGCAACCCUGACGCAGCAACGCCGCGUGCAGGAAGAAGGUCUUCGGAUUGUAAACUGUUGUCGCAAGGGAAGAAGACAGUGACGGUACCUUGUGAGAAAGU